rnacentral:rRNA from 1 species
UACGGAGGAUCCGAGCGUUAUCCGGAUUUAUUGGGUUUAAAGGGUGCGCAGGCGGGAGAUUAAGUCGGCGGUGAAAUUUUGCAGCUCAACUGUAAAAGUGCCUUCGAAACUGGUUUCCUUGAGUGUAGAUGAAGUAGGCGGAAUUUGUGGUGUAGCGGUGAAAUGCAUAGAUAUCACGAGGAACUCCGAUUGCGCAGGCAGCUUACUAAACUACUACUGACGCUCAGGCACGAAGGCGUGGGGAUCAAACAGGAUUAGAUACCCGGGUA